rnacentral:rRNA from 3 species
GCGACGUCGCGAGAAGUUCAUUGAACCUUAUCAUUUAGAGGAAGGAGAAGUCGUAACAAGGUUUCCGUAGGUGAACCUGCGGAAGGAUCAUUG